ensembl:lncRNA
GUGCCCAGCCAGGGACCCCAGCGCUGCGAGCUUCCCCGCAGCAGUGCCCAGCCAGGGACCCCAGCGCUGCGAGCUUCCCCGCAGCAGUGCCCUUUUAGUACCAAGCACCUCAGAAAGGUGCAGACUCUGAUUGGAGUUUAAUGCUUCUAACCAUUUUACUAAGUCGUUAAAGUGCAUGUGUGGAGCAGUCUGAGCCCCCAGCAUCUGCUGAGAGGGGCUGAUACAUUGGUCGCUUCUCCAUGCGACGCUCCUGUGGAGGAUGCUGGGUCCUUUGUUGUGGUGACAUGACUUUGCACCCAUCCAGGCUGCUGUGGCCCUGAAGGAAAUCGAGUGGCAGCAGACUUACCCCAUGGAUUUCUACGCCGGCCAGUCCCUGGGGCCCUGGACAGUCAACCAUGCCAGCCACCAGCCCCAGAGGGGCACCAGCCGGCCAACGCAGAGGAAGCUGCCUGAACCUGUGGUACCAGUGGAUGCUGGUGUGGGGAAGAAAUGCACCGACUGCAGCUGUCAGGACAAGGCCCCAUUGCAGCCAGAGCACCCCUGAACCCCCAAACAAUGGGGAUAUUGGCAGGUACAGCCCUGCAGUUACCGGCCUGGAAACAAGCGCUCCCAGCUUUGCUCUCAGGAAGGGCUGUCUCUGACUUCAGAGCUGGUGAAAUGGGCCAGAUCAACAGCACUAUAGACUGACUGACUGGCACCCAGAGCAGGUACAGAGUAGGCAGUGGCAGGGCCACUCUCUCACGGCCCUGGAGAACCAUCUCUCAGUCUCUCGCCCAUUCAGCCUGAAGUGUUUCCACGGAGGCUGCCUGAAAGAACCAGCUGUAGCAGUGGUUUCUGUGAUAGGGACCAUUCCCUGGCCACUGGACUGAGAUCCCCCAUUAAGGAACAGCUGUGCCGAAACCAUGAUUAAUUUGCAUUGAAAUGUCCCGUGUGUACUACAGAGAGGUGGAAAUGGCCACGCAAAGGCCCUUCAACUGUGCUGGGUUUGGGACAUAGUCUCACUAACAGGAUGUUGAGAAGCACAAAGUUGGGAGCAGUGCCAAGGUUCCGGUUGUGUUCUGCCUGGGGAAGAUGGAUUUUAGGCCAACACACUGCUCUGUUCCCCUCAGUGCCUCAGCCCCAGUGUGUAGACAUCAAGGCUCAGCCUGGGGGCAGCAGUGAACCCUAACUUACACACUGUAGUUACCUUGAUACAUUUGCCAGUUGCAGUGGAGGGACAGAUUCUUUGUCUCUGUGUGUUUCACCGUCCAUGGUUUGCAAAAUCCUCUUUCAAAGUUGGAAAUAGUGUCCUCCAGCCCCAGAGUCCUGUCACAUGUGGGCAGACGUGGACUCUCCUCCCGGGGCCUUGGUUCUACUCACAGAGCAGCCUUCACCUGCUAUCACUAGCUCCUGAUUACAUUGAUCUAAAGGAGAAGAGAAACACGCCCCGUAGCUCUGUCAGAGCCCAUGUUAACUUGCCUCUUCGGGGGGGUUGUCUUUGCUCUGUCACCAGUGGCGUUGCUGGGCGGGGAGAUAAAUGGUGCAGGGGCAAGGGAGAGAGAGGGGCUCCCAGCAGAGAGGGACAGGGCAGGCCCUGUAAAACUAUCCCAGCCUUGGGCUC